GUCUCCUGGGGAGCGGCAUGAUUGGAUCAAGAAUUCCCCAACCCCAGGUCCCCUUCUGUCAUUACGUGGACAAGACUGACUUGUUCUCGGUGACACUCCUGCCCUGCUGCAGCCGAGUCAUGUCUGCAGGAGGCCUCGUCCCCACCACUUUGGUGAUUCACAUCCCUUCACUCAGAUGCAAGACUCUGUCUAUUAUAUAAUAAUUUGGCCUUUGUCCCUAUUCCUGAAAGGGAGACACUAAAGCUUUGGAAUAUCCCAACUAA